rnacentral:lncRNA from 1 species
AUGAACUUAUUUUAUCAUAUCAUGAUUGUCAGAAAUUUAUGAAUUUAGCUAGUCAUAACCAUAAAUAAAUAUACCUGUUCUAGUAGAUUUGAUAAUUCUGGGUUUUGUUCAUCCAUAGCUUUUGCUUUGAAAUAUAUCUGUUUUUUAAUUAAAUAUUCAAAAGUUUUUUGUUUACAAAGGAGGACUUUUUGCUUCAACACAUGAAGACUUGCCUUUAUCUUGCCGAAUGACUUACAUAUUUAUAGGAG